CAUUUAAGAUACCUUAAUUUGCGUUUUCCGAAAAUAGUGAAACUACCGGAGACAUUGUGCGAGUUAUAUAAUCUAGAAAAGUUAGAUAUUAGUUAUUGUUUUAAUCUUAAAGAAUUACCUGAAGGGAUUGGGAAGUUAAUAAACAUGAAGCAUUUACUAAAUAGAGGUACUAAUUCUUUAAGGUACAUGCCAGUAGGGAUUGGGAGAUUAACGGGUCUUAGGACCUUGGGUGAGUUCCGCGUGAGUGCAGGAGGAGAUGUUGAUGGUAGGAAAGCAUGUAGGCUUGAAUCUCUUAAAAACUUGGAACACCUUCAAGUAUGUGGUAUACGUAGACUGGGUGAUGUAUCAGAUGUGGGCGAGGCUAAGCGAUUAGAACUUGACAAAAAGAAAUACCUCUCUUGUUUGAGACUUCGGUUUGAUAAGAAGAAAGAAGGAGGAGAAAGGAGGAAGAACGAAGACGAUCAACUACUUCUUGAAGCCCUGCGACCACCUCUGGAUUUAAAGGAAUUAGAGAUACAGUUCAACCGAGGCAACACUGUUUUCCCCAGCUGGAUGACGUCAUUAACCAACUUAAAGAGUUUAGGUCUCUCUUUGUGCGAAAAUUGCGAGCAGUUGCCUCCUUUGGGAAAAUUGCCAUCCCUCGAACAGCUCUUCAUAUCGUACAUGUCGAGUGUGAAAAGAGUGGGUGAUGAAUUUCUGGGGGUAGAAAGUGAUCGUCAUGACUCAUCGUCAUCUUCAUUAGUUAUUAUUGCCUUCCCCAAAUUGAAAUCACUUAGAAUUGAGGGAUUGAUGGAAUUGGAGGAGUGGGAUUAUGGGAUUACAAGAACGGGAAACACCGUCAUCAACAUCAUGCCCCAUCUUUCUUCCUUGGUAAUUGAUAGUUGCUACGAAUUAAAGGCACUGCCCGAUCACAUUCAUCAAACGACGACAUUGAAGCGAUUGUGGAUUUUGAAUUGUGGGCCUCUGGGAGAACGUUACCGCACGGGGGAAGGAGAAGACUGGCCUAAUAUAUCACACAUUCCCAACAUACAUAUUCGUUAAGAAGGAUUUGCGCAUUUGAGAUUUGGCGUUGACAAGUAAUUUCUUCUCUUACUCUGAUUUGCUUUUGUUGUUGUUUUUAAUCUAGUUAAGAAGUGUAAAUAGCAUUUUGAAUCAAACUCUAUAUCAGAAAUCUGCAAUACAUACUUUCUAAUAUUCUGAUUUUCAUAUCCUAUGAAUAUACGAUUUUUAAUUUGUGAGAUGGGUAACGUUACUGUAAAAGAUUAUUAAUGCAAUAUGAGUAAUUCUUUUGCAGGACAAGUGACCUACAUUUAGUUUGGCUUUGGAGUUGAAUAAUAACCUUUCGAGGUCCCGACAAACAAAAAACGAAGCUUAAUUUGCCACAGAUUGCACGUAUUGCCAUUAUUGACAAUUUUCUGCACAAGUGAUCGAGGGUGAGGUCCUGUCCUGAAUAAAGCUCUCGUGACUGAACUUAGGUUGAUGUCAAAAGAGGUAAAUUAUCGGCAUGCCUGACUAUUUUGACCAUUACAUGAUUCAUAAAUUGAGUGAUUACUUUUCAAGGUUUGCUUACUUAACCGGGUGACCAGUUUCUUGUAACUAAAUGUAUGAUAUGAAAUGAGAAGCUUAUUAGUGGAAGGAUUGCCUGUAACAGAACCCAAAGAAAAUGAAACCAUUUCAAGGCAGCAGCCGGCAGUUGGGAGUGAAUGGAGGGCCUUCACAAAAUUCUCAAGCAGUUGCAAUGCAAUUACGAUCAUCCUCAGCCUCAGGUAAUUUCUUCUCCUGCUUUGUUUUUAUUUGUUACCUAAUUAAGAAGCAUUAUUUGUUUUUAUUUGUUACCUAAUUGAAGGACAAGUGCUGAAGAGUGGGAAUGGUGCUAUAUUGGGGAAUAAUGCAGGAGGAGGUAAAUUAUUGGGAGUUUCUUCAACCUUGUUUUCUUUGAACCAGCGCCUGAUCCACAAGACUCCGUUAAUUUGGCUUUUGAUCGGCUGAUUGAUAAAUUUUCAAUUUCUUUUGUGAUAAAUGUAUAUGUGAAGCAGGCAGCAGGACAUGACUGUGGAAAAGAGAAGAUCUUAGUGAAAGCUGAGACUCAGAUAUUUCUACAAAGUAUGUGUUUUGGCUGAUUUAUCUAAUUCAUGAAAUUUUAUUUCCAUCUGUUACAAGAUCAAACUGAAGCAGAACUCAAAGAAAAGUAUUCUACUUCUUACGGCAAUCUUGCCUUCGUUCAGAUUAUGGAACCAUUUCCAUGCAGCAAAUUCAUCCAAAAGUUUGAAUAAGUUUCAUGGUUGGACACUGUUGGCUUCUUUUUCUUUUGGGGUGCAUUUAGGUGCUAUCAAGUGACAGCCGUAAGUAUGAUUGCACUAAGCUGCUGCUGGGAAAUUCGAGGUUUUGAUGGCUGCCCACGUUAUUGUCAAGAAACUCCUCAUGUAAGAAGUUGUAGUUCUUUUCAUCAGCUUGAACCUAAAACUGUCGCUAUUGAUAACUCAGGUUUUUGUUAUCAACUAUAUCAUCUUUUUCACUGUUUUGAAACUCUUUAAGAUUAAACUUCAGUAAAGUUCUUUCAGUUAUCCACAUAAUCAGGCUGAGGAUACUUUAGUAAAGUUGCUUCAGCUAUUCAAAUGAAAAAUCUCAUUGAUUUGAGACUUCCUUCAUUAUUGUUUUUGAUUAAAAUGCUAAGGGUCCAGAUAAAAUAAUAUUUCUGCUGUACCGUACAUCCGCCUUGGCCGUACAGCAGUUUACUAAAUAGAGGUACUAAUUCUUUAAGGUACAUGCCAGUAGGGAUUGGGAGAUUAACGGGUCUUAGGACCUUGGGUGAGUUCCGCGUGAGUGCAGGAGGAGAUGUUGAUGGUAGGAAAGCAUGUAGGCUUGAAUCUCUUAAAAACUUGGAACACCUUCAAGUAUGUGGUAUACGUAGACUGGGUGAUGUAUCAGAUGUGGGCGAGGCUAAGCGAUUAGAACUUGACAAAAAGAAAUACCUCUCUUGUUUGAGACUUCGGUUUGAUAAGAAGAAAGAAGGAGGAGAAAGGAGGAAGAACGAAGACGAUCAACUACUUCUUGAAGCCCUGCUUUUGUAUUAGUUCUAGUGCGUUGACCUAAAUGCUAUUCUAUAUUUUAGUGCCUUAAUUCUAGAACCUUGGCUCCUGCCAGAGCAUGCGGAGAUAAUGGUAGGGAGAGUGUUUGUGUAUUUUAACCAUGAUAAAGCUAAUGUUCCCAAUGAUUUCUGCUGGUGAGACUUGUGAAGAGGGUGAAUGAGGCAACUGCUAAUAUUCCUGGGUGGGAUACAGUAACUAGAGGCUGAGAUCAGGUGGUGGAAUUUUUUGUUUGAUCGAUGAUACCAGAAUUGUCCACAAAAAGUUUGUUGAUACAAAUUACAGGUGAUAGAAAGAGGUAUAGGUGGAGAAGAGAAAUCUGCGAGUCAAAUUAGGGAUAAUUGAUUUGCUGAUGCAAGUUACAUUGAAUAAUAAUAAUAACAAUUGCAUGAAGAUCCCUUAUUAAUCUUGUGUUCUCCUAUCUUUUACAUUCAGCUGGUAUACUUAAGCCUUGCUUGUGGAAUGUUUUAACCUUUAAAUUCACUACCCCUGGAUGUUGGAUUUUCUAGAACUUCAAAAUGAUUAAUGGAGAAAGAUCCCAUUAUCGAUAUCGCUAUAAGAAAUUUUAUUUAUACUUCCAAAGAUACAUUAUAUAUUUAUGUGUAUCUCUUUAUACAUGACAUUUAAGCAUCCAUAAACUGUCAGACAGAGGAAGGGGGUUGAGUGUAAAGAUUCUGUUGACCUAGGGGUUGCCUGCUUAAUGUCACUUGUUAGUGAUCUAUUAUUUAUUUCAUAUUUUGAAGAAUUUAAAGGGCAAUCCUGCUUGUUUGUGUUGUUAUCUCCUUCUAACUUACGGUCGUACCUAAAGAGCAUAGUUUCAUAUGUGUUACCCUGAGAUGUACAGAAUUUCACAUUUGCCUCAGAUUAAGCUUAAUUUCCCACAGAAUAGAGCUGUUGUGACUGAACUUAGGUUGAUGUCAAAAGAGGUAAAUUAUUGGCAUGCCUAGAUAAUUUGACCAUUUCCUAAUUCAUAAGUCUACAUUAAUUUUGAUUUUGAGUUGACUGAUUUCUUUUCAAGGUCUGCUUACUUAACGGAGUGACCAAUGUUUUUCAACUAAAUUUAUCAUAUGAUGCAGGAAGCAGGGCAGGAUAUGAAAUGAGAAGCUCAUUGGUGGAAGUAUUGCCUGUAACAGAACCCAAAGAAAAUGAAACUAUUUCAAGGCAGCAGUUGGCAGUUGCAAGUGAAUGGAGGCCCUUGCCAAAAUUCUCAAGCGGUUGCAAUGCAAUUACGAUCAUCCUCAGCCUCAGGUAAUUUCUUCUCCUGCUUUGUAUUUAUUUGUUAUCUAAUUAGGAAGCGUAAAGUAUCUUGAAUCAUUUUCUGUAUCUGGAAUAUAUGCAAGAGUUUCUAAAAUUUUGAUAUGAGUGUAAUGAUGGUAAUUUCUGUUUUCUGUCUGUCAUCAAAUGUUAGAAAACUUUCAUUGAGACCCUUGAACCGAGUCAUUUUUGACAAGUGAAGUGCUGAAGAGUGAGGAGUAAGAAUGGUGCUAGAUUGGGGAAUAAAGCAAAAGGAGGUAAAUUAUUGGCAGCUUCUUCAGCCUUAUUUUCUUUGGACCAGUGCCUAAUUCACAAGUCUCCGUAAUUUGGCUUUUGACCAGUUGAUAGAUAAAAUUUUAAUUUCAUUGGUGCUAAUGUACCCGUGAAGCAGGCAGAGAAGGACUGUGGAAAAGAGAAGGUUUUUAGUGAAAGCUUAAACUCAGGUAAUUCUAAAAAUUAUAGGUUUUGGCUGAUUUAUCUAAUCAGGAAAUUUUAUUUCCAUCUGUUACAAUAAAACAGAAACAGAACACAAAGAAAAAUAGUCUACCUCUUGUGGCAAUCUUGCCUUCAUUCAGUUAUAUGUUUUGGCUGAUUUAUCUAAUCAGGAAAUUUUAUUUCCAUCUGUUACAAUAAAACAGAAACAGAACACAAAGAAAAAUAGUCUACCUCUUGUGGCAAUCUUGCCUUCAUUCAGACUAUGAAACCAUUUCCUUUCACCAAUUUCUUCCAAAAGUUUGAACACGUUUCAUGGUUGGACAUAGUUAGCUUCUUUCUCUUUUGGUGCAUUUAGGUGCUAUCAAGUGACAGCCAUAAGUAUGAUUGCAUUAUUGGGAAAUUUUAGGUUUUGAUGGCUCCCCAUGUUAUUGCCAAGAAAUUUUAAGUCCUCAUGUCAGAAGCUGCGUUUCUUUUCAUCAGCCUGAACCCGAACCUGUCACUAUGGAUAACUGAGGUUUUUGUCAUCAACUAUAUCAUCUUUUUCACUGUUUUGAAACUCUUUAAGAUUAAACUUCAGUAAAGUUCUUUCAGUUAUCCACAUAAUCAGGCUGAGGAUACUUUAGUAAAGUUGCUUCAGCUAUUCAAAUGAAAAAUCUCAUUGAUUUGAGACUUCCUUCAUUAUUGUUUUUGAUUAAAAUGCUAAGGGUCCAGAUAAAAUAAUAUUUCUGCUGUACCGUACAUCCGCCUUGGCCGUACAGCAGUUUACUAAAUAGAGGUACUAAUUCUUUAAGGUACAUGCCAGUAGGGAUUGGGAGAUUAACGGGUCUUAGGACCUUGGGUGAGUUCCGCGUGAGUGCAGGAGGAGAUGUUGAUGGUAGGAAAGCAUGUAGGCUUGAAUCUCUUAAAAACUUGGAACACCUUCAAGUAUGUGGUAUACGUAGACUGGGUGAUGUAUCAGAUGUGGGCGAGGCUAAGCGAUUAGAACUUGACAAAAAGAAAUACCUCUCUUGUUUGAGACUUCGGUUUGAUAAGAAGAAAGAAGGAGGAGAAAGGAGGAAGAACGAAGACGAUCAACUACUUCUUGAAGCCCUGCGACCACCUCUGGAUUUAAAGGAAUUAGAGAUACAGUUCAACCGAGGCAACACUGUUUUCCCCAGCUGGAUGACGUCAUUAACCAACUUAAAGAGUUUAGGUCUCUCUUUGUGCGAAAAUUGCGAGCAGUUGCCUCCUUUGGGAAAAUUGCCAUCCCUCGAACAGCUCUUCAUAUCGUACAUGUCGAGUGUGAAAAGAGUGGGUGAUGAAUUUCUGGGGGUAGAAAGUGAUCGUCAUGACUCAUCGUCAUCUUCAUUAGUUAUUAUUGCCUUCCCCAAAUUGAAAUCUGCGUUGAUUUCUAAUGCGGUGGAGUAAUCGUCGUUAGAAUCUGAAUGAUAUGUCUAAGACGUUGCAUGCAUCAAGAAAAUUGCAGAUGAUUAAACCUUGCCAUCUAUGCGUUGUAUGAGGUUAUAGCAACUAUCUAUCUGGUCACCGUUUUAAAAGAAUAAGACAAAGGGAAAAAGAGAAAGAAAAGAAUGAUUCGACAAUGGCAUUAAAGUUCAACAUACCCCAAGAUCUUGUAAUAAUGCCAUUAAUCAUUUCUAGCUAGGCUAGCCUUAGAGAAAAGUGAAACUGUUGCACAGGUAGAAUCACACCCCUCAGAGAUAAUGUGUUUUUAUUCAGCUCUUCGAAUGAAUGAAGUUUAUUUUCUCGUCAAAAAAGAAACUGCUCGUUCCGCUGGUUUCAUACAAUGUCAACUAGAAACAUCAUACUUUCGUAUAAGUUCAUUAUUGUUUCUUGGAAAUAUCAGAAUAUUUCUUAGAGUUUGUAUAAAAUGAAAAGAUUUUAAAAUAUAAAUUUAAUAUUUGUUUAUUA
rnacentral:lncRNA from 1 species